UACGUAGGGCGCAAGCGUUGUCCGGAAUUAUUGGGCGUAAAGAGCUCGUAGGCGGUCUGUUGCGUCUGCCGUGAAAACCCGAGGCUUAACCUCGGGCCUGCGGUGGAUACGGGCAGACUGGAGGUAUGCAGGGGAGAACGGAAUUCCUGGUGUAGCGGUGAAAUGCGCAGAUAUCAGGAGGAACACCGGUGGCGAAGGCGGUUCUCUGGGCAUGUCCUGACGCUGAGGAGCGAAAGUGUGGGAGCGAACAGG
rnacentral:rRNA from 1 species